UGAGAGGGGUUAACGUUCAAGAUGACGUCAUCCUACACCCUUCUUGUCGCGCGCUGAAUUGAGUGAGGUAGUUCACAAGCAGCUCAUAGGGCGCAGCAAUGGCAGCUGCAACCCUUAUCUGUCCCAAGCCCCACUCUUCUUCCUUCGCGAGUAUUCUUGCUGGGCCCUUGUGCCCUUCCGAAGGACAUAUUGCCUCUGUUUCCCUGAACUCGUCUUCUACCCGUAGCCUCGUCGGUCGCAGAAUAAGAGCAGUGUCCUUAAACGAAAUCCCCCCCAAUGCUCUUCGCCGGAAGCGCGACCCUCUCUGGAGAGGAGGGUUCAGUCUUGGGGUAGACCUGGGAUCGUCCCGCACUGGCCUUGCCCUUAGCAAGGGCUUCUCAAUUCGUCCCCUAACGGUACUGGAGUUGCGAGGCCAGAAGCUUGAGCUUCGUCUGCUUGAAAUUGCAGAACAGAAGGAAGCUGACGAAUUUAUAAUAGGGCUACCUAAAUCCUCUGAUGGAAAGGAGACGCCCCAAUCCAACAUAGUUCGUAGUGUGGCGGGUAGGCUUGCGGUUCGAGCUGCCCAGAGGGGCUGGAGAGUAUACCUGCUGGAUGAACAUGGGACAUCAACGGAUGCCUCUGGCUAUAUGAUUGAAAUGGGCCUCAGCAAGUCUGCUCGCCAAGGGGAACUAGAUGCCUAUGCUGCCAUGAUGGUACUGGAGAGAUACUUCUCCAUGUCAGGUCAUGGAACUGAAAUUGUUUGGCCCAAGCAGUUGGAACUCCAGGAAAUGGUUCGCAGGGGUCCACCCAUGGAUGUGGAUUUCUUCCCAGAAAAACUCAAGGCAUAGGAAUUUACUUCCCGUGCCAUCAGCAAGAUUCUGAAGUGUACUGCAAUUCUAGUCUUAUUCAUGGUUGAGUGAAUGCACUCUCUAUUGUUGGGUAAUUAUUUGGGGAUCCUGCCAGGGGUUGAUUCAUUCGAGAGGGCAGCCUUUUAUAUUUUGGACCUUCUAGUGGUUUGUACAAUUGCUGCGCCCCAAGCUCAAUUUGCGUUUUUGGUAGAACAUUUGUAAGUUGCAUCAUCUUUUAGGGCAUGUAUCCCCUGGCCAUUAACCCUUGAACCCCAAGCCUCACCAGCACUCACCAAGACAAGAACAUCAAGCCGGAUCUCCUUGGAGAGAUUGUUGACAGGUUAAAAAACGAAAUUAUGGCUCUAUUUAUUUAUUUUGGUUCUCCAUCUAGGUUCUAUUAUAUAUAUAUAUAUAUUCAUGACUU